GGGUGCUGGACAGUCGCGGGGACAAGGCGAAAGCCUGUUCAUGAGGAAAGUCCGGGCUUCACAGGGCAAGGAUAGCGGGUAACGCCCGCCGAAGGCGACUUCAGGAAAAGUGCAACAGAGAUAUACCGCCGCGCCGCCUGCGGCGCGGUAAGGGUGGAAAGGCGAGGUAAGAGCUCACCCGACGGCGUGUGAAAGCGGCCGUCGCUGUAAACUCUAUCCGAAGCAACACCGGCAUGGGAGCUUAUAGGCCGGCCCGGCUGCUCCCGAGGUGGCUGGAGCGCACCGGCGACGGUGCGCCUAGAUAGAUGACUGUCAAAACAGAACCCGGCUUACAGGCACGCUCG
rnacentral:RNase_P_RNA from 1 species